rnacentral:misc_RNA from 1 species
GAAAUGCGAUAAUUAAUGUGAAUUGCAGAAUUCAGUGAAUCAUCGAGUCUUUGAACGCACAUUGCGCCCCCUGGUAUUCCGGGGGGCAUGCCUGUCCGAGCGUCAUUGCUGCCCUCAAGCACGGCUUGUGAGUUGGGCUUCCGUCCCUGGCAACGGGGACGGGCCCAAAAGGCAGUGGCGGCACCAUGUCUGGUCCUCGAGCGUAUGGGGCUUUGUCACCCGCUCCCGUAGGUCCAGCUGGCAGCUAGCCUCGCAACCAAUCUUUUUAACCAGGUUGACCUCGGAUCAGGUAGGGAUACCCGCUGAACUUAAGC